UAAUACGGGGGGGGCAAGCGUUGUUCGGAAUUACUGGGCGUAAAGGGCUCGUAGGCGGCCAACUAAGUCAGACGUGAAAUCCCUCGGCUCAACCGGGGAAUUGCGUCUGAUACUGGAUGGCUUGAGUUUGGGAGAGGGAUGCGGAAUUCCAGGUGUAGCGGUGAAAUGCGUAGAUAUCUGGAGGAACACCGGUGGCGAAGGCGGCAUCCUGGACCAACACUGACGCUGAGGAGCGAAAGCCAGGGGAGCAAACGG
rnacentral:rRNA from 1 species